AUGUCCAUAUUGACUGACCUGACGUCACAACCUAACCAAGAAUGCAACAAAUUUGGUUACUGUGGUCCAUUUGGUUACUGCGACAACACACAGCCCAUUGUGACAUGCAAGUGUAUUGAUGGAUUUGAGCCAAACAACAAACAAGACUGGACGGCCCGCAGGUUUUCGCAGGGAUGCCACCGGAUGGAAGCACUAAGAUGUGGUCAAGGGGAUGGCUUCUUAAAUACGUCAAACAUGAAGGUUCCUGACCAGUUCGUUUUUGUCAAGAAUAGAAGCUUAGAUGAAUGCAUAGCAGAAUGCACCAGCAACUGCUCCUGCACGGCGUAUGCUUACGCCAAUAUGAGCACCAAGUUUAUGAAUGGCGAUGAAACUAGGUGCCUAUUAUGGAUUGGAGAUUUGAUUGACACAGAAGCUAAUUGGACAAGGGGAAAACCUCUACAUCCGGAUUAA
rnacentral:rRNA from 1 species